UUUAAUUGGAAAACUUCCAUCAAUCAAUUUAUGCAUAAACACCAAUCAACCAGUCCCUCCUCUACUGUUACUAAUCUUUCCUUCUUUAAUUAGAGGAGUCUGCUUCCUUUUCUUCUUCUUCUUCUUCUUCUUCAAAUCUGUAUGUAUUGAACUUUUGCUUUAUUUUCUUGCUUAUCCAAGAAAGAAAAGAUUAGUUUUGCUUUUUUCAUUUAUCUUUUUCUAUUUUUUCAACAACUAACUGGUUCUUGAAAUAUAUAUAGUCAUGAACAAAUUUUGAUUCUUUCUUUUUGGUUUUUUGGCUGAAUCUAACAUGGAAGUUUUCUUAAAAAUCAGACCCACAUACCAAAAUUAAUCUGUGAAUUCUGAAAUUGCAUAGACAGUUUUCGAUUCUCUGUUUGUUGAUUUUUUUUGUUUUUUUUUUCUUUUUCCCAUUUUAUUCAUGAUAUUUAUAAUAAAAUAGUAUAAAAUAUGUGUCUACUUUAAAAUCCAAAAGCAGGGUUUGGUUUGGUUUUGUUUUGUCUCGUCUUUGGUCGCUAUGUUGAAGGUUGAGUUCAAAACCAGGAGAGUGGAUUUUUUUCUCGGCCACCCCCUUCACGUAAUCCAUUUGGAUUUUAACCAGUGGUAACAGGCCACGUCAGAUAGUGCUCGUGGCCUUGUUGCUACAUAUGGGUUAUAGAAAAUUUUUCUUUAAUAAUCACAAAAUGUUUAUGAAAUUUGCUUUGGUGCCUUUGCAUCCCUAUAUAUACUGAUGGAAGGAGGAACUUUUUGUGCAUGGAUAGAUUGACAGUCGUUGUUUGCGGGUGUAGCACCAUCAAGAUUCACAUGCAAAUGCACGGUGGUGAUUCUCUCUCUCUCUCACUCUCUCUCUCUCUCUCUCUCUCUCUCUCUUUCUUCAUCUCUAUGAACCAAAGUUCUUUGAAAGUGAGAAUCUUGAUGAUGCUGCAUCGGCAAUAAACGACUAUACAAAAAGGGAAGACUCAUAUAUGCACAGUUUAGAAAGAGAAGUGUAGUGAUCUUAUAGGUUUCAAGAACCUUUCGGUGGCUGACUUUGCAGAUCUAUGAUUAUUCCCCUCCUAGGAAACUAUUCUGGGACGCAAAUCGUAUAUUCUAUUAGUUUCUUCUUGCAGAUGUGAUGGGACUUCCUCAAAACAAGUUAACUCAAGAAACAAGAGGAAGAGGAAGAGGGAGAGAGAAAGAAAGAAAGAAAGAAUCUUGAUGAUGAUGAUGCUUCAGUAAUUGGAAAGGAAAAGUCCAAGCUAUAUGCUAUGGAGGGUUCUGGCUCAUGAGGUUGAAGAAACUCUUAAGUGGCCAGUUGGAACAAUUUGAGCAUGAUCAGCUGAGAAUAAGCAGCGUGGGAUAUCAAGAAAUUCAAUCAAGGUAGAAGUGAAGUAAUUAAAACUUGGAAUGAGGAAAACUUUGCAGAAUCAUAGGGAAGUGUAAAGCAGUGGGCAAGAUAUUUCUGUAUAUAUUACUUUUUUCAUGGAAAGUGGGAACCAUUUCUUGAGGAUACUAAUUCCCAUAGUACUCUAUGUAUGAUCGAUAUUAUCUUCUCCUACAUCAGUGCAGUAUUUAUCCUAUGUUAUAUA